rnacentral:rRNA from 1 species
CUUUCUUUGCUGGCGACCGGCGCACGGGUGAGUAACACGUAUCCAACCUGCCCUUUACUCGGGGAUAGCCUUUCGAAAGAAAGAUUAAUACCCGAUAGCAUAAUGAUUCCGCAUGGUUUCAUUAUUAAAGGAUUCCGGUAAAGGAUGGGGAUGCGUUCCAUUAGGUUGUUGGUGGGGUAACGGCCCACCAAGCCUUCGAUGGAUAGGGGUUCUGAGAGGAAGGUCCCCCACAUUGGAACUGAGACACGGUCCAAACUCCUACGGGAGGCAGCAGUGAGGAAUAUUGGUCAAUGGGCGCUAGCCUGAACCAGCCAAGUAGCGUGAAGGAUGAAGGCUCUAUGGGUCGUAAACUUCUUUUAUAUAAGAAUAAAGUGCAGUAUGUAUACUGUUUUGUAUGUAUUAUAUGAAUAAGGAUCGGCUAACUCCGUGCCAGCAGCCGCGGUAAUACGGAGGAUCCGAGCGUUAUCCGGAUUUAUUGGGUUUAAAGGGAGCGUAGGUGGACUGGUAAGUCAGUUGUGAAAGUUUGCGGCUCAACCGUAAAAUUGCAGUUGAUACUGUCAGUCUUGAGUACAGUAGAGGUG